rnacentral:rRNA from 1 species
AAAGAAACUAACAAGGAUUCCCCUAGUAACGGCGAGUGAAGCGGGAAAAGCUCAAAUUUGUAAUCUGGCGCCUUGGGCGUCCGAGUUGUAAUCUCGAGAAGUAUUUUCCGCGCUGGACCGCACAUAAGUCUGUUGGAAUACAGCGUCAUAGUGGUGAGAACCCCGUAUAGGGUGCGGAUGCCCAGUGCUUUGUGAUAUACUUUCGAAGAGUCGAGUUGUUUGGGAAUGCAGCUCAAAUUGGGUGGUAAAUUCCAUCUAAAGCUAAAUAUUGGCGAGAGACCGAUAGCGAACAAGUACCGUGAGGGAAAGAUGAAAAGCACUUUGGAAAGAGAGUUAACAGUACGUGAAAUUGUUGGAAGGGAAACGCUUGAAGUCAGACUUGCAUUUUGGAGUUCAGCCGCAAGGUGUAUUCUUCAAUUCGCAGGCCAGCAUCAGUUUUUGGGGGUGGAAAAGCGCGGUUCGAAGGUAGCAGUCUCGGCUGUGUUAUAGCUUGCCGCUGGAUUCACUUUUGGGGACUGAGGAACGCAGUACACUUUUUGCMAGAUUCUCGGAUCUUUCGUACUUAGGAUGCUGGUGGAAUGGCUUUAAACGACCCGUCUUGAAACACGGACCAAGGAGUCUAACAUGCUUGCGAGUGUUUGGGUGUUAAACCCGGACGCGUAAUGAAAGUGAAUGGAGGUGGGAUCCGCAAGGUGCACCAUCGACCGAUCUGGAUUUUCUAAGAUGGAUUUGAGUAAGAGCAAUUAUGUUGGGACCCGAAAGAUGGUGAACUAUGCCUGAAUAGGGUGAAGCCAGAGGAAACUCUGGUGGAGGCUCGUAGCGGUUCUGACGUGCAAAUCGAUCGUCAAAUUUGGGUAUAGGGGCGAAAGACUAAUCGAACCAUCUAAUGUUGCUUGGUGGUUAAUAGGGACUUCAAAGUAGAGCCCUAGUGGGAGUGGUAACUUGCGACACUUUCAAAUUGCGGGGACGCCCUUAGAGCUCUGAUUACGGCGGCUCAUCGAAAGAUAGAGUGCAGCAGCAGGUUAAUGGCCUCGCGGAUCGUAAAAACAUCAGAGAUUGGGUAAUCCGCAGCCAAGUCCUAAAGGGUACCUUUCAGCUACCCCAUGGAUGCAGUUCAUCGACUAAAUGGAAGUGGGUGCCCUUCCUUUACCGGAAGGGUGCUUGAGAUAUAGUCAGCCCCUCGUGAGAGCGAGCUAAUGGGACUAAGAGUCGCUUCGUUUUUACCACUUGCAAACGACGAUUCCCGAGCCCAUUGGGGUCUAAGAGGAAAUAGUAAAACUCGAAGACUGGAUUACGUGCUAGUAGCUGGUUCCUGCCGAAGUUUCCCUCAGGAUAGCAGAAACUCACAUCAGUUCUAUGAGGUAAAGCGAAUGAUUAGAGGCCUUGGGGUUGAAACAACCUUAACCUAUUCUCAAACUUUAAAUAUGUAGGAAGUCCUGCUACUUGAUGAGCGA